AGAGUCCUGAAAUGUACGUUGUGUUACCUGAAGUUUUGACCGAACAUUGUUUAUUUGGGAGUCCGGAGUUUUCUGAAUGCGUAAAUGCCCCACUCCAUUGCGAGUAAGGGGACUUACAAUAACAGGAAUAGGACACCCCCCUGCUGAGUGCGGGAUCAAAACGAAGGAUCAAAAAGCGACGGCACCAUUGGGACUCUU
rnacentral:other from 2 species